AGAGUUUGAUCAUGGCUCAGAGUGAACGCUGGCGGCGUGCCUAACACAUGCAAGUCGAACGAGAACGGAUAUAAGUUUACUUAUAUUGUCAGCUAAGUGGCGCACGGGUGAGUAAUAUAUAGUUAAUUUGCCCUGAAGAAGAGAAUAAUUGUUGGAAACGACUUGUAAUGCUCUAUAUGCCUUUAUCACAUAAGUGAGCAAGGGAAAUAUUUAUAGCUUCGGGAUGAGACUGUACGGUAUCAGCUAGUUGGUGAGGUAAUGGCUCACCAAGGCUAUGACAUCUAACUGGUUUGAGAGGAUGAUCAGUCACACUGGGACUGAGACACGGUCCAGACUCCUACGGGAGGCAGCAGUGGGGAAUAUUGCACAAUGGAGGAAACUCUGAUGCAGCAACGCCGCGUGGAGGAUGACACAUUUCGGUGCGUAAACUCCUUUUAUUAGGGAAGAUAAUGACGGUACCUAAUGAAUAAGCACCGGCUAACUCCGUGCCAGCAGCCGCGGUAAUACGGGGGGUGCAAGCGUUACUCGGAAUCACUGGGCGUAAAGAGAAUGUAGGCUGGUUUGUAAGUUGGAAGUGAAAUCCUAUGGCUCAA
rnacentral:rRNA from 1 species